CAGUAGCCGCGGUAAUACGUAGGGUGCAAGCGUUAAUCGGAAUUACUGGGCGUAAAGCGUGCGCAGGCGGUUUGUUAAGACAGAUGUGAAAUCCCCGGGCUCAACCUGGGAACUGCAUUUGUGACUGGCAAGCUAGAGUCUGGCAGAGGGGGGUGGAAUUCCGCGUGUAGCAGUGAAAUGCGUAGAUAUGCGGAGGAACACCGAUGGCGAAGGCAGCCCCCUGGGCCAACACUGACGCUCAUGCACGAAAGCGUGGGGAGCAAACAGGAUUAGAUACCCCGGUAGUCCUGUCUCUUAUACA
rnacentral:rRNA from 1 species